rnacentral:snRNA from 1 species
AGAUGAAGUUUUACAAAUCUUAA